GGGGUUGUGGCUCAGUGGUAGAGCGCUUGCCUAGCACGUGCAGGACACUGAGUUUGAUCCUCAGCACCACA
rnacentral:tRNA from 1 species